rnacentral:rRNA from 1 species
GACGAACGCUGGCGGCGUGCUUAACACAUGCAAGUCGAACGAGAAUCUACUGAAAGAGUUUUCGGACAAUGGAUGUAGAGGAAAGUGGCGGACGGGUGAGUAACGCGUGAGGAACCUGCCUUGAAGAGGGGGACAACAGUUGGAAACGACUGCUAAUACCGCAUGAUGCAUAGGGAUCGCAUGAUUCUUAUGCCAAAGAUUUAUCGCUUCAAGAUGGCCUCGCGUCUGAUUAGCUAGUUGGCGGGGUAACGGCCCACCAAGGCGACGAUCAGUAGCCGGACUGAGAGGUUGAACGGCCACAUUGGGACUGAGAUACGGCCCAGACUCCUACGGGAGGCAGCAGUGGGGAAUAUUGGGCAAUGGGCGCAAGCCUGACCCAGCAACGCCGCGUGAAGGAAGAAGGCUUUCGGUUGUAAACUUCUUUUAAGAGGGAAGAGCAGAAGACGGUACCUCUAGAAUAAGCCACGGCUAACUACGUGCCAGCCGCCGCCGUAA